rnacentral:pre_miRNA from 2 species
UCCAUUGGUCAAUUGGCAAGAUGUCGGCAUAGCUGAUAUGUAUUCAAAGUUUCAAAGACCGCUAUGCUACAUCUGGUCAAUUUUUUCA